GACGAACGCUGGCGGCGUGCUUAACACAUGCAAGUCGAACGGAAAGGCCCUUCGGGGUACUCGAGUGGCGAACGGGUGAGUAACACGUGGGUGAUCUGCCCUGCACUUUGGGAUAAGCCUGGGAAACUGGGUCUAAUACCGAAUAGGACCACGCGCUUCAUGGUGUGUGGUGGAAAGCUUUUGCGGUGUGGGAUGGGCCCGCGGCUUAUCAGCUUGUUGGUGGGGUAAUGGCUUACCAAGGCGACGACGGGUAGCCGGCCUGAGAGGGUGACCGGCCACAGUGGGACUGAGAUACGGCCCAGACUCCUACGGGAGGCAGCAGUGGGGAAUAUUGCACAAUGGGCGGAAGCCUGAUGCAGCAACGCCGCGUGAGGGAUGACGGCCUUCGGGUUGUAACCCGCUUUAGACGGGGACGAAGCGAGAGUGACGGUAAUUAGAAAAGAAGCACCGGCUAACUACGUG
rnacentral:rRNA from 1 species